AUUGAACGCUGGCGGCAGGCCUAACACAUGCAAGUCGAGCGAGUGGCGAACGGGUGAGUAACACGUGGGUGACCUGACCUGCACUUCGGGAUAAGCCUGGGAAACUGGGUCUAAUACCGGAUAGUGUGGGUUGGGCCCGCGGCCUAUCAGCUUGUUGGUGGGGUAAUGGCUACCAAGGCGCGACGGGUAGCCGGCCUGAGAGGGUGAACGGCCACAUUGGGACUGAGACACGGCCCAGACGCCUACGGGAGGAAGCAGGGGGGAAUAGUGGACAAUGGGCGGAAGCCUGAUGCAGCGACGCCGCGUGAGUGAAGAAGGUUUUCGGGUCGUAAAACUCUGUUGUUAGAAAAGCGGUAUCUAACCAGAAAGCCACGGCUAACUACGUGCCAGCAGCCGCGGUAAUAC
rnacentral:rRNA from 1 species